AUGGGAAGUUUUAACUGUUGCACUAAACAAAUAAGUAUGGAUUUCCGAAGUGAACCACUGGCUGGGCAUGAGUAAUACAUUAUGACAUAUAAACUAUGCCCUCACAUGGACAGUACGCGACAUACACAAAAGCCAAAAGUAAUGGAAAUGCCAACCAUAGCUUUUAUCGAUGGGCCAUUAAGCCUUAAAAAGGAAAACACCAUAGGCCGAAAAUGAGCCAGCCAGCAAGCAAAGAAAUAACAAUAAAUACUUGGCGGCUACAUUUUACACUUUAUUACAUUAAGUGCAUUCACGAAUUUACAUACAACUUAAAAUAAUGGUUUGCAUAUGUACUUUAUUUAUACACUUUUACACCGACGUGUGUGUGUGUGUACUUUGUAUGAAAUUUAUUUGAAAAUGUGUGCGCGUACACAUUUUGUACUUUGCCAAAUUAAGCAGCCAAAUAUCGUAAUUUCUAUUUUUAAAUUUGCGCAACGUCGAAGUAUUCGAGCGAAGAGACCGAAAAAUUAAGCAACAGACGAAGGCUUGUCAUUGCUCCUCCAUUGCCGCCUGCAAAUGUUGCUGCCACAUCACACGCAACAGGGCAUACUCGUACAUACAUAUGUACACAUGUGUGGCUGUGCUUGCCAUCAAGCGAUCGUUAAAGAGAUGUAAGACUGACAGACAAACUGCCGAUGUGCCAUACUGUCAGUCGGCAAGCCGUUAAAGCAUUCACCGCUCGCUUGUUCGGUUACUGCUGCUGUGACUGUGAGUAAUCGAAGCGUGUGGUGAAAGAAGCGCAACAAACCACUAAAAUUCAAUUGAAAUUUCUACACGCCACCAACAAUAGCUAGAUAGACACCGAAACAACCACAUAGACAUGCGCCAGCGGCGAAUGGGAGUUGGGGAGUCUAAGGAACCAACCCAAUAUAAAAGGGGACGAGUACAUAUGUACAUUUGUUCUUUUGUGUGUACUUGCAAGGCAACUCGUUGCAAUGUGCCACCACCAUCAACACUACCACCACCACCACCGAUGACAAAUGCUUUAUACUUUCUGGUGAGACAAUUAUAGCUGGAAGCAGCAGCGUUCAACAUUCUCCUUCACUUCAGCCAUUUUCACAACCACCGCAUACAAA